rnacentral:rRNA from 1 species
GUCGACGAUGAAGGGAAGCUUGCUUUCUGGAUUAGUGGCGAACGGGUGAGUAACACGUGAGUAACCUGCCCUUGACUCUGGGAUAAGCACUGGAAACGGUGUCUAAUACCGGAUACGAACUUCCACCGCAUGGUGAGGGGUUGGAAAGAAUUUUGGUCAAGGAUGGACUCGCGGCCUAUCAGCUAGUUGGUGAGGUAAUGGCUCACCAAGGCGACGACGGGUAGCCGGCCUGAGAGGGUGACCGGCCACACUGGGACUGAGACACGGCCCAGACUCCUACGGGAGGCAGCAGUGGGGAAUAUUGCACAAUGGGCGCAAGCCUGAUGCAGCAACGCCGCGUGAGGGACGAAGGCCUUCGGGUUGUAAACCUCUUUUAGUAGGGAAGAAGCGUAAAAGUGACGGUACCUGCAGAAAAAGCACCGGCUAACUACGUGCCAGCAGCCGCGGUAAUACGUAGGGUGCAAGCGUUAUCCGGAAUUAUUGGGCGUAAAGAGCUCGUAGGCGGUCUGUCGCGUCUGCUGUGAAAUCUGGGGGCUCAACCCCCAGCCUGCAGUGGGUACGGGCAGACUAGAGUGCGGUAGGGGAGAUUGGAAUUCCUGGUGUAGCGGUGGAAUGCGCAGAUAUCAGGAGGAACACCAAUGGCGAAGGCAGAUCUCUGGGCCGUAACUGACGCUGAGGAGCGAAAGCAUGGGGAGCGAAC